CCUAACACAUGCAAGUCGAACGGUAGCAGGAAGAAGCUUGCUUCUUUGCUGACGAGUGGCGGACGGGUGAGUAAUGUCUGGGAAACUGCCUGAUGGAGGGGGAUAACUACUGGAAACGGUAGCUAAUACCGCAUAACGUCGCAAGACCAAAGAGGGGGACCUUCGGGCCUCUUGCCAUCGGAUGUGCCCAGAUGGGAUUAGCUAGUAGGUGGGGUAACGGCUCACCUAGGCGACGAUCCCUAGCUGGUCUGAGAGGAUGACCAGCCACACUGGAACUGAGACACGGUCCAGACUCCUACGGGAG
rnacentral:rRNA from 1 species